GAGUUUUUAUGUCACAGACCCCAUGCCAGUGCCAGGCGGGUGUAGGGCUAUGAGAAGCCACAGGAUCUUGCUCUGGGGGUGGGAAGCAGCAGACUGAGGUCACAGAGGAACUGCCAGAGGUGGCUUAAGGGGUCCCCAGACCUGCACGGAGACCAGGGAUGUCAGGUUCUCAGAUUUUGGGGCACCGCAGACACCAAUGAAUGCAGUGGAAGAGCUGAGUUGUUUGUAUGGGACCUACUCCAGCCAAUCAGUCUUCUUAGCUUCUGUUAGAACUGCCUACUUCAAACUUAUUCAAACCUACUUCAAGCUCCUUACUCUUUGAAGACACUCACUGCUCAUGCUACUACAAAGCUACCAGGGUCAUGUCUGGACAAGGGCUCCACUUUUAAAACACCAUAUUCUGGACACUUGGGACCAUAGCCAGGUCUCUGAAGACUUGGAUGAAACCCCAGACAGUUGGAAUACAAUCCUAAUUGGCAAUACACCAUGUCUGAGUGGUCAUCUCUGCUGAGCUUCCCAGAACAGUGAAGAAAUGCCUACGUGCAUCGAUUUAUAAAAAUAAAUAUGAACAAGGA
rnacentral:lncRNA from 1 species